GAUGAACGCUGGCGGCGUGCCUAAUACAUGCAAGUCGAGCGAACGGACGAGAAGCUUGCUUCUCUGAUGUUAGCGGCGGACGGGUGAGUAACACGUGGAUAACCUACCUAUAAGACUGGGAUAACUUCGGGAAACCGGAGCUAAUACCGGAUAAUAUUUUGAACCGCAUGGUUCAAAAGUGAAAGACGGUCUUGCUGUCACUUAUAGAUGGAUCCGCGCUGCAUUAGUUAGUUGGUAAGGUAACGGCUUACCAAGGCAACGAUGCAUAGCCGACCUGAGAGGGAGAACGGACACACUGGAACUGAGACUCGGUCCAGACUCCUACGGGAGGCAGCAGUAGGGAAUCUUACGCAAUGGGCGAAAGCCUGACAGAGCAACGCCGCGUGAGUGAUGAAGGUCUUCGGAUCGUAAAACUCUGUUAUUAGGGAAGAACAUAUGUGUAAGUAACUGUGCACAUCUUGACGGUACCGAAUCAGAAAGCCACGGCUAACUACGUG
rnacentral:rRNA from 1 species